UCUUACACUUCUUGAAACAAUGUUCUCUAUUCGUUGCGAACAUGGAAUUUUAUUUGUAGAUGUGGGGGCCAUGGUUGCUCUAUCCAAGCCAUUGAUCUGACAGCCCCUAUCAUGGACGAACCAUUCCCUCCAAAUCUCCCAAAUUGGAAGAUCCUAGCCAUCAAAACUUUGGUUUUUCCUCCAUUGAAUCUGGUAUGCUCAUGCAUAUAUUUUUAACUAUUUAGAUGCAUGCCAACAAUGGGAAGGUUAGAGUUGACCAUUUGAGAGGAUAUUCUGGGAAUGGUCUGUCCAUGAUGGGGGCCGUCAGAUCAAUGGCUUGGCUAGACAACCAUGGGCCUCACAUCUACAAACUAAGUUCCAAAUAAGGUAGUCUCUUGUUUGAAACAAAAAGAGAACUUGCCCACUUGGCCUUUACACUUCUUUUGUUCAAAAGACACACCAUCCAAAGUUCACCUUCCUAAUUUUCAUUUUCUGCUUGUUUUAUUUUUGGCUGUUUCUAUCUUUUAUGGUUAUAUGUUUUGUUCUAUGCAGCAGAUGAAAUGAACUGCUCAUAUUAAAACAAAACAAAAAAAAAGAAAUCCUAUGAUUGAGUGCUUAUUUUCAGAAUGCAAUAGCGGAAAAUAUUUUAUCUGAAUCUUUAUGCUGCACGUUCUUUAUCCUGGUGCACAUCCGUACAUCCCAUUUAUCGGAAAAUUCAUUUAGCCGCCGAGGCUAUUUUCUUUCUUGCCAUGCAAAGGCAGAGUUCACUAUACCGGAGGGCCUCUUUCAAUGUUACAAAAAUCACAGAUGGACUGCAUGAUUCAAGAGUCGUCUGUGCACUUCCCAGCUUGCUGGAUGCAGCGUGUCAAAACCAUAUUAGAUUUUGGCUGUUAAGGGCGAAAAUCCCUUCAAUAUUAAGGAGUGUGAAGCUGGACAGGGUAAAAACACAUUGCAGCAUUCAAGCUUCAGAUUUCAAAAGUACAUCGUACGAAAAUGAAGGAGAAUUAUCAGAUGCCGAUGAGGAUGACGAACUUUGUCCAGUUGAAUGUGUUAGAGAAUUCAAGACUGACAAGGAAUUCUGUAAAAUUCUGGAGAGGUCUAAAGAAACAGAUUCCUUAGUUGUGGUAGAUUUCUAUCGGACUUCAUGUGGAAGCUGCAAGUAUAUAGAGCAGGGAUUUGCAAAACUAUGCAAACGAUCUGGCGAUCAUGAAGCCCCAGUUAUCUUCUUGAAGCAUAAUGUUAUUGAUGAGUAUGAUGAGCAGUCUGAGGUGGCUGAAAGACUAAGGGUCAAGGAGACACUGUGACAGAUGCUAGAAGCAUGCUUUCCACUUCUCCUCCAUCAGCAUGUCGGACUUCAUCAAGUCCACAACUUAAUAGGGGCCAUGCCCGUCUGAAGCCACUUCUUCACAAGCUGGCAGCAUUCAUUGGCAGGCACACCCUCUCCAAAUCAAUAACAGAGACAGGAGACCUAAGACAAGCCAGGGAUCUAAGGUCAGUACCCCUCUUCCACUUUUACAAGAAUGGAGUCCUGUUGGAAGCAUUUCCAACCAGAGACAAGGAGAGGAUUGUAGCUGCCAUUCUGAAAUAUACUGGGCUUACUCCUGAAGACUUGUAGAUUGCACUCUUUAUUCACCGUAUGUGGAAAUACGUCUCGCAUUUGGAUAAGGAUAGAGACAGCCCCCAUUGACUUCAAUGCUUGGAGUUAAUAUGCCUCGAUAUCUAUUGUUAUGCAUAGAAGUCUAUUUUUUGUAAUUCAUCCAACUUGUAAUAUUUGGAGAAUGAAAAUAUGAUUUGAAAGCUUUGUAUCUGAGCCAAUGGUACCAUUAGACUCUUAAGCAACGGUAAUGAAUACCCAUCUUCUCAUUUA